AUUUCUGUUCUGAACACCGAUGUGGUUUUCUCUCCUAAAUAUUCACAUGUAGAGACCGGGAGAACGGAAACUGUUCUGAGAGCUCCAACAAGCAUGUGCCUGAAGAUUCUUAUUUACCUCUGCAGGUCCAGAGUUGGGCACACAGUGACGAUAAUGAUAAUGACAACAGUCAUGAACAUAGGUCGUGAUUUCACCUUCAUUUAUCCUGGGAACAACUCUGAAAGUCUAUUGAUAAGUGUCAAAGAAGAAAAUAAAAAUGGAGGAGAAUUGACUGGCAGCACUUAGAGCAGAGCCAGGAGGCAUGUUCAUCUUGUUCAUCUGCCACAGACACCAAUGUGUGAGCUGAUGUCUGGACUGAACCACAGUAAAGCUUCCUGAGUCACAGUUUCCCCUUGCAAAAAUGUGCAGCAGACACAGUUUCCCAAGACUACUUAGGGACCACAUUGUACCCCACCCCUUUCUUAAGGGACACUUGAAGUUUUGUCAACACCAAGCAUAAUAGACCACUAGCAAGACAUAUAACUUCUACCCCUCAUUGUGAUUUAAAG
ensembl:lncRNA